AUUGAACGCUGGCGGCAGGCCUAACACAUGCAAGUCGAGCGAGAGGCGGACGGGUGAGUAAUGUAUGGGGACUGCCCGAUAGAGGGGGAUAACUACUGGAACCGGUGGCUAAUACCGCAUCCUAUCGGAUAACCCAUAUAGGAUUAUCUAGUAGGUGGGGUAAAGGCUCACCUAGGCGGCGAUCUCUAGCUGGUCUGAGAGGAUGAUACACCAAGCUGGGACUGAGACACGGCCCUGACUCCUACGGAGGAAUCAGUAGGGAAUAGUGCACAAGUGGCGCAAGCCUGAUGCAGCCAUGCCCGGUGUAUGAAGAAGGCCUUAGGGUUGUAAAGUACUUUCAGCGGGGAGGCGGUACCAGCAGAAGAAGCGCCGGCUAACUCCGUGCCAGCAGCCGCGGUAAUAC
rnacentral:rRNA from 1 species